GUCAGUUAGUCAGUUGUAAAUGAACAGAAUUAGUUUGUUAGUAGUGCCUGUGAUAACUACGUUGAUAUAAUAAUAUAUAGAAUAAAGCACUUCGCUUAAUGUUGAUGUUGAGUAACUUCUAAAUUAAUAUUGGGAUGGAUAAAUACGUAACUGGGUUGAAAAGAAAAUUAAAUGAAGCAGAAGCAGAGGGCAAAAGAAAAUGUGAUGAAAAAAA
rnacentral:lncRNA from 1 species